GCCUGGGUGGCUCAGUCGGUUGAGCCUCCGACUUGGGCUCAGGUCAUGAUCUUAGGGUCUGUGGGUUCGAGCCCCACAUUGGGCU
rnacentral:tRNA from 1 species